rnacentral:sRNA from 1 species
GCCAGGCAUGGUGGCGCGUGCCUGUAAUCCCAGCUACUUGGGAGGCUGAGGCAGCAGAAUCGCUUGAACCUGGGAAGCUCGGAGGUUGCAGUGAGCCAAGAUCACGCCAUUGCACUCCAGCCUGGGUUACAGAGCAAGACUCUGUCUCAA